CAGUGUGUAACCAAGAUGCGUCCGGAAAAUACUUGUAUAAGUAAACACAGAGAAUUUGUUUAAAACAUUUUUUUACCAGACAACGUGUACGGAGUGCUAUGCAGCAGUGAGAACAGUGUCGAGAAGCACCUGGAGAUGGGGAAGAAGCUCCUGGCUGCCGGACAGCUGGCCGACGCACUUUCCCAUUUCCACGCAGCUGUUGACGGUGACCCGAAAAAAUACUUGGCCUACUACAGAAGAGCCACCGUCUACCUGGCCACGGACAAGUCUAAAUCCGCUUUACCGGAUCUAAGCAAAGUCAUCGAGUGUCAUGAUUUCCCCUUGAAGCAGCGUGCUCUAAGCGCGAAUGCGCGAGCACCUGCUUUUCCGUUGUUGACAGUAGUGACAUCUGGACACGUGUGUUUUGUUUAUGUUUCUGUCAUGUCUCCUCCCUGUUCUGUCAUUGGCUGGGAUUUCACGUGUGCCUGUAUUGCCCUCAGCAAGUUUAGAGGCUUAUCAGUUUAGACGCUGAUCAUGUCCACAUAUAUACCGCGCGGCUCCCAGCACACAACGCGGAAGAUUAUCGUAGAGUUAGAUUGGUUCGUGUGGUAAUAGUCACGGUCCAUGUUUAGAGUUAGUUCACGCUGGAUUAUCCGCUCCCAGUUCCUCGUCAUAGUUCAUGUUUCUCGUUUAGUUUAUCGACCCUGUUUUCCGUGACACGACCUUGAUUCAUGUUUAACCCUGUGUAUGCCUGUUUGCCGAUCGCCUGACCUUCGCCUGUUUUGGAUCACGUUUUGGAUUUGUCUGCCUGUCUCUCUUUUAAAAUAAACAACUGUUCAUACUGCAAUUGCAUCCGUCUUAUCUCCGCUCCGUCACGAUACGUGACAUCGAGUUAAACCUGAUUUCACAUCGGAUAGCCCAGAAGAAGCUCAUUAAAGCCUACAGGGAGUUGUCACAGCAGUGACACCCAGACAACGUCCAGGAUCCUGAAGAGAAGAACAAGGCUGAGAAGAAGUUCAUAGACAUCCCACAGGCC